GGGCCAGUGGUGCAAUGGAUAGCACAUCUGACUACAGAUCAGACGAUUGUAGGUUUGGCUCCUGCCUGGCUUG
rfam:Alligator sinensis unplaced genomic scaffold scaffold71_1, whole genome shotgun sequence